GACGGAGGAUGCAAGUGUUAUCCGGAAUCACUGGGCGUAAAGCGUCUGUAGGCGGUUUAAUAAGUCAACUGUUAAAUCUUGAGGCUCAACCUCAAAAUCGCAGUCGAAACUAUUAGGCUAGAGUAUAGUAGGGGUAAAGGGAAUUUCCAGUGGAGCGGUGAAAUGCGUAGAGAUUGGAAAGAACACCGAUGGCGAAGGCACUUUACUGGGGUAUUACUAACACUCAGAGACGAAAGCUAGGGUAGCAAAUGGG
rnacentral:rRNA from 1 species